rnacentral:rRNA from 1 species
GAUGAACGCUGGCGGCGUGCUUAACACAUGCAAGUCGAACGGGAAAUAUUUCAUUGAGACUUCGGUGGAUUUGAUUUAUUUCUAGUGGCGGACGGGUGAGUAACACGUGGGUAACCUGCCUUAUACAGGGGGAUAACAGUCAGAAAUGGCUGCUAAUACCGCAUAAGCGCACAGAGCUGCAUGGCUCAGUGUGAAAAACUCCGGUGGUAUAAGAUGGACCCGCGUUGGAUUAGCUAGUUGGUGGGGUAACGGCCCACCAAGGCGACGAUCCAUAGCCGGCCUGAGAGGGUGAACGGCCACAUUGGGACUGAGACACGGCCCAGACUCCUACGGGAGGCAGCAGUGGGGAAUAUUGCACAAUGGGGGAAACCCUGAUGCAGCGACGCCGCGUGAAGGAAGAAGUAUCUCGGUAUGUAAACUUCUAUCAGCAGGGAAGAUAGUGACGGUACCUGACUAAGAAGCCCCGGCUAACUACGUG